GUGAGUAGUGGCGCGCGGCGGCUCGGAGUACCUCUGCCGCCGCGCGCAUCGGCUCAGCAUGC
ensembl:miRNA MIR6869 microRNA 6869